CGAAACUCGCCGUUUAACGUACCCUCAAACCGCACAGGCAGACAUUAAACAGCUAUCCACGAGUUCUUCUGAUUCUAUAGCAGUAGGAGGCAGGCAGCCACCAACUCCACCACCAUCAGAAUUAAGAGUAGGACGAAGAACUGUGAAGACAGGGUGGAUAUUUCAAUCAAUCAGAUCUUACUUUAUUCAGACAGAAAGAUGAAGACCUACCAUGAUGAGGAAACAGCGGUUUUCCUUCAGAGCCCCCAAGAAGCCCAUGAACGACACACAAGUGAUGAUGAUGCCGCAAAUCAACAGCAUGUUUGACAUGUUGAGUUUCGCAAAGGUGGGGACGUGCUGUGAUGCGUGAAAAGACAAGAGGCUGUUCUCACUUCUUUGUUUCUGAACACAGUACGGAAGCUAACUGAAAAAGAACAUUGGGGGACAAACGCAAAUAGUAACGAAGAAAAAAAUGAGACAAAGAGACAUGUCUGUGACAGUGUUGCUUUAUUUAAGGUUUAGUCAUGUUGGAAACUUACAGUGGAAACCAUGAAUAUAUGGUAAAACCUAUCGCUAAAACACUAAUAGCUAUUUACACCAUUUUGAUAUUGUUCAUAUAUAUAUAUAUGUGUGUGUGUGUUUAAAACAUAUAUGCUUUUUGAUAUUGCUCAUAUAACUGAAAAUAGAGCAGAGAUUACUUCCUUGUAAUAUUAAAGUCCUUGACUGAGAAUGAAGACUCAUGUCAACAUUAAAGAAGUACAAAUACA